CAUGGCUUAGAGUCUCUUGAAAGAAAUAAGAUCCAUAAUCAAACUUGGCCUUGGUACCCACAACAUAGAUAAACCUACCCAAUCCUCUUGCCACAUCACCUGAGUGGGUUGUAGGCACCCAAUUAUGUGCAGCAAUUCUAUUCAGAACAGCAUAAAAUGGAGAGAGGGAAGUUGCAGCCAACUUAGCCUUGCUUGGCCAUACCUUGAUCUUGCCACCUG
rnacentral:lncRNA from 1 species